rnacentral:rRNA from 1 species
GACGAACGCUGGCGGCGUGCCUAAUACAUGCAAGUCGAACGAGAGCGACCGGUGCUUGCACUGGUCAAUCUAGUGGCGAACGUGUGAGUAACACGUGGGUAACCUGCCCAUCAGAGGGGGAUAACAUCCGGAAACGGAUGCUAAAACCGCAUAGGUCUUCGAGCCGCAUGGCUUGAAGAGGAAAAGAGGCGCAAGCUUCUGCUGAUGGAUGGACCCGCGGUGCAUUAGCUAGUUGGUGAGGUAACGGCUCACCAAGGCCGUGAUGCAUAGCCGACCUGAGAGGGUGAUCGGCCACAUUGGGACUGAGACACGGCCCAAACUCCUACGGGAGGCAGCAGUAGGGAAUCUUCCGCAAUGGACGCAAGUCUGACGGAGCAACGCCGCGUGAGUGAAGAAGGUUUUCGGAUCGUAAAACUCUGUUGUUAGAGAAGAACAAGUGCUAGAGUAACUGUUAGCGCCUUGACGGUAUCUAACCAGAAAGCCACGGCUAACUACGUG